rnacentral:rRNA from 1 species
AUUGAACGCUGGCGGCAGGCCUAACACAUGCAAGUCGAACGAGUGGCGGACGGGUGAGUAAUGUCUGGGAAACUGCCUGAUGGAGGGGGAUAACUACUGGAAACGGUAGCUAAUACCGCAUACCAUCGGAUGUGCCCAGAUGGGAUUAGCUAGUAGGUGGGGUAAAGGCUCACCUAGGCGACGAUCCCUAGCUGGUCUGAGAGGAUGAACAGCCACACUGGGACUGAGACACGGCCCAGACUCCUACGGGAGGCAGCAGUGGGGAAUAUUGCACAAUGGGCGCAAGCCUGAUGCAGCCAUGCCGCGUGUAUGAAGAAGGCCUUCGGGUUGUAAAGUACUUUCGGUAGCGAGGCGUUACCCACAGAAGAAGCACCGGCUAACUCCGUGCCAGCCGCCGCGGUAAUUC